GAUCAAGGGUUUUAAAGAAAACGUGAAUGAAACACAGGUGUCAAAAACUGUGUUCAGCCACCUUAACCUUUUGGUUUCGCAGAAAAUGCAUAAUUAUUAAAUAAGAAGAAAAACAUGGGAAAAUGAGUUUUAAAGUUUUGGUUGCUUUGUAGAUGUCAAUGCACUAAGACAGACACGGAAAAGCAGUCUUGUGAAAAGUCUAAAUGUGAAGUCUUUCUCUGAAUGUGGCCCCAGUUCUGACAGACGAUGGUCACCGGCACAUGAGUACAUCAACUGUGGAACAACCACAUCACUCUUUGGAUACAAGCUGACGACCCCAGAAGCAGUUGCAUGUUUAAUAAGGUUGAAGAGAGAGAUUCACACUCAAACAAAGAUGCUUUAAUUACAAACUUUAUAAUAUAUAAUUUUGUACGAAAGACUACGGGUAAUUUGACAUUCAGGUUGAAAAUGGGUUAAAUUGUUAAAUGUGACUUCCUUUAGGAAAUAUGUUACUUAUUAAAGUCCAAAGAUGCUUGAAAUAUAAUUAAGCUUGCAAGUGGACACUUUAAAAGUUACAUAAUGCCAAGUGACUGGAAAACCAAAUUCUCAACAAUAUUUGUAGGUAUCUUCAAUAAAUAUAAGUACUGAAUCUCAGUUAAAACUUGGAAUGACAGAUUAGAAGUGUUCGAAGUUGAUUUUAGACAUAGCAGUACACGUUUGCUUAAUACAACACUUACAUUUGUGGAUUCUAAAAUGUCCACAGAGAUUUUGUUUUUGGCUGCAACAUUUUUGCAGAGCAAAAUACUAUUUCAUGAUUUGUGAGUAAGGGAUACAAAAUUAUUUUAUGUUUGUAUUUACUUUAAUUAACAAAUUUGUACAUACAAUGUGUUGAGGUUUUGGAGGUGCAUCGAUUCUUGUCAUGUUAGUAUGUUGAGAGCGUGGUCAGUGAAUUUUAUUAUGUUCAAAUACUGGACUCAAUGCAUUUAGCUUGUUUGAGUGUUGAAUUAGGCUAAAAGAGUUGAUUUUAUAGAAUUAACAAUUUGGUGGCUUUGCAAAAUGGACAAAAGUAAUUUAUCAAUUUGAAAAACCCAAAAGCAAACCUUCGCUUCAGAUUCAAAUUUAAUAUAUAUACUGUUUUCUACUCUAGUCAGAAAUGUCCAUGUUCAAUGAUAUACUAAAUUCUUGCUGGUAGGAAUAACCCAUGCAAAAUACAGGUCAACUUGUCAUUAUUAUAAACAACAGCAGAAAAUAUUACUAUCCAUACAUGAUCUUUAGUAUUAAAUACAUCCUUGAAAACAUUUUUUUAUUAUUAUUUCUUAUGCUGAACAAAAGCCCAGUGCUGAACAUACUCCUAUACAAACCAACUCAUGAUAUUUAUUAAACAGUUUCUGAACAUUAUUUCAUAACAUUAUAACAAAACCUGUGCUUGCCUUAAAUGUUUACAGUUUCCAACAUAUUUUCUCUACCUUCAAAGUGUGUGUUUUCACUGUGUAAUAACUGUACAGAGAGCCAAUGGAAUUUUUCUAUAACAAGAACAUUUUUAUACCAAAAUCUGCGCAAGGUAAUUCGGAUUGUAUUCAUAACUACAUCAAGAAACAAGAUAGCACUACAAUUUAAGGUAGAACUCCAUUAAACAAACUAAAAUAAAAUUAUUAGUUCUCGAUCAGUUAUCUCAUGUAAAUUGUUAACAAAACCUUAGCUUGAUGGUAAAAUGUAGAAAAACACCUUAUGUGUGUCAACCAAUCAGAUUGCUCCAUUGUUAUGCAUUUCAGAUUUAAUCAAGAUGUUAUAAUUUGUUGACAGUACAUCUUCAUAUGUGUUAGGUAAUAUUUGACUUGUGCUAGCUAGCAGUGUUCAUAAUGAUCAAUACAACAAAAAUGUUGAAGAUUCUUUAUUGUUCAUAAUUGUUGCAAUUAUUCAAACUGAACUUGCUCAUGGAAUAAACUCCAAGUUUUGAA